UUAAAUUGAAGAGUUUGAUCAUGGCUCAGAUUGAACGCUGGCGGCAGGCCUAACACAUGCAAGUCGAACGGUAACAGGAAGCAGCUUGCUGCUUCGCUGACGAGUGGCGGACGGGUGAGUAAUGUCUGGGAAACUGCCUGAUGGAGGGGGAUAACUACUGGAAACGGUAGCUAAUACCGCAUAAUGUCGCAAGACCAAAGAGGGGGACCUUCGGGCCUCUUGCCAUCGGAUGUGCCCAGAUGGGAUUAGCUAGUAGGUGGGGUAACGGCUCACCUAGGCGACGAUCCCUAGCUGGUCUGAGAGGAUGACCAGCCACACUGGAACUGAGACACGGUCCAGACUCCUACGGGAGGCAGCAGUGGGGAAUAUUGCACAAUGGGCGCAAGCCUGAUGCAGCCAUGCCGCGUGUAUGAAGAAGGCCUUCGGGUUGUAAAGUACUUUCAGCGGGGAGGAAGGGAGUAAAGUUAAUACCUUUGCUCAUUGACGUUACCCGCAGAAGAAGCACCGGCUAACUCCGUGCCAGCAGCCGCGGUAAUACGGAGGGUGCAAGCGUUAAUCGGAAUUACUGGGCGUAAAGCGCACGCAGGCGGUUUGUUAAGUCAGAUGUGAAAUCCCCGGGCUCAACCUGGGAACUGCAUCUGAUACUGGCAAGCUUGAGUCUCGUAGAGGGGGGUAGAAUUCCAGGUGUAGCGGUGAAAUGCGUAGAGAUCUGGAGGAAUACCGGUGGCGAAGGCGGCCCCCUGGACGAAGACUGACGCUCAGGUGCGAAAGCGUGGGGAGCAAACAGGAUUAGAUACCCUGGUAGUCCACGCCGUAAACGAUGUCGACUUGGAGGUUGUGCCCUUGAGGCGUGGCUUCCGGAGCUAACGCGUUAAGUCGACCGCCUGGGGAGUACGGCCGCAAGGUUAAAACUCAAAUGAAUUGACGGGGGCCCGCACAAGCGGUGGAGCAUGUGGUUUAAUUCGAUGCAACGCGAAGAACCUUACCUGGUCUUGACAUCCACGGAAGUUUUCAGAGAUGAGAAUGUGCCUUCGGGAACCGUGAGACAGGUGCUGCAUGGCUGUCGUCAGCUCGUGUUGUGAAAUGUUGGGUUAAGUCCCGCAACGAGCGCAACCCUUAUCCUUUGUUGCCAGCGGUCCGGCCGGGAACUCAAAGGAGACUGCCAGUGAUAAACUGGAGGAAGGUGGGGAUGACGUCAAGUCAUCAUGGCCCUUACGACCAGGGCUACACACGUGCUACAAUGGCGCAUACAAAGAGAAGCGACCUCGCGAGAGCAAGCGGACCUCAUAAAGUGCGUCGUAGUCCGGAUUGGAGUCUGCAACUCGACUCCAUGAAGUCGGAAUCGCUAGUAAUCGUGGAUCAGAAUGCCACGGUGAAUACGUUCCCGGGCCUUGUACACACCGCCCGUCACACCAUGGGAGUGGGUUGCAAAAGAAGUAGGUAGCUUAACCUUCGGGAGGGCGCUUACCACUUUGUGAUUCAUGACUGGGGUGAAGUCGUAACAAGGUAACCGUAGGGGAACCUGCGGUUGGAUCACCUCCUUACCUUAAAGAAGC
rnacentral:rRNA from 1 species